rnacentral:rRNA from 1 species
CGGAUUAUUGGGCGUAAGGGCUCGCAGGCGGUUUCUUAAGUCUGAUGUGAAAGCCCCCGGCUCAACCGGGGAGGGUCAUUGGAAACUGGGAAACUUGAGUGCAGAAGAGGAGAGUGGAAUUCCACGUGUAGCGGUGAAAUGCGUAGAGAUGUGGAGGAACACCAGUGGCGAAGGCGACUCUCUGGUCUGUAACUGACGCUGAGGAGCGAAAGCGUGGGGAGCGAACAGGAUUAGAUACCCUGGUAGUCCACGCCGUAAACGAUGAGUGCUAAGUGUUAGGGGGUUUCCGCCCCUUAGUGCUGCAGCUAACGCAUUAAGCACUCCGCCUGGGGAGUACGGUCGCAAGACUGAAACUCAAAGGAAUUGACGGGGGCCCGCACAAGCGGUGGAGCAUGUGGUUUAAUUCGAAGCAACGCGAAGAACCUUACCAGGUCUUGACAUCCUCUGACAACCCUAGAGAUAGGGCUUUCCCUUCGGGGACAGAGUGACAGGUGGUGCAUGGUUGUCGUCAGCUCGUGUCGUGAGAUGUUGGGUUAAGUCCCGCAACGAGCGCAACCCUUGAUCUUAGUUGCCAGCAUUCAGUUGGGCACUCUAAGGUGACUGCCGGUGACAAACCGGAGGAAGGUGGGGAUGACGUCAAAUCAUCAUGCCCCUUAUGACCUGGGCUACACACGUGCUACAAUGGACAGAACAAAGGGCUGCGAGACCGCAAGGUUUAGCCAAUCCCACAAAUCUGUUCUCAGUUCGGAUCGCAGUCUGCAACUCGACUGCGUGAAGCUGGAAUCGCUAGUAAUCGCGGAUCANNAUGCCGCGGGUGAAUACGUUCCCGGGCCUUGUACACACCGCCCGUCACACCACGAGAGUUUGCAACACCCGAAGUCGGUGAGGUAACCUUUAUGGAGCCAGCCGCCGANNNNGGGCAGAUGANUGGGGUGA